UACGGAGGGUGCAAGCGUUAUCCGGAUUCACUGGGUUUAAAGGGUGUGUAGGCGGGUCUGUAAGUCAGUGGUGAAAUCUCCGAGCUCAACUUGGAAACUGCCAUUGAUACUAUAGAUCUUGAAUUUUGUUGAGGUAGGCGGAAUAUGUCAUGUAGCGGUGAGAUGCAUAGAUAUGACAUAGAACACCGAUUGCGAAGGCAGCUUACUAAGCAAAUAUUGACGUUGAGGCACGAAAGCGUGGGGAUCAAACAGG
rnacentral:rRNA from 1 species